GAGGUAGUGACAAUAAAUAACAAUAUGGGGCUCUUUUGGGUCUCAUAAUUGGAAUGAGUACAAUUUAAAUCUCUUAACGAGGAACAAUUGGAGGGCAAGUCUGGUGCCAGCAGCCGCGGUAAUUCCAGCUCCAAUAGCGUAUAUUAAAGUUGUUGCAGUUAAAAAGCUCGUAGUUGAACUUCAGACAUGGCCGGGCGGUCUGCCUAACGGUAUGUACUGUCUGGCUGGGUCUUACCUCUUGGUGAGCCGGGAUGCCCUUCAUUGGGUGUGUCGGGGAACCAGGACUUUUACCUUGAGAAAAUUAGAGUGUUCAAAGCAGGCCUAUGCCCGAAUACAUUAGCAUGGAAUAAUAAAAUAGGACGUGCGGUUCUAUUU
rnacentral:rRNA from 1 species